rnacentral:rRNA from 1 species
GAUGAACGCUGGCGGCGUGCCUAAUACAUGCAAGUCGAGCGAACGGACGAGAAGCUUGCUUCUCUGAUGUUAGCGGCGGACGGGUGAGUAACACGUGGAUAACCUACCUAUAAGACUGGGAUAACUUCGGGAAACCGGAGCUAAUACCGGAUGAUAUUUUGAACCGCAUGGUUCUAAAGUGAAAGACGGUCUUGCUGUCACUUAUAGAUGGAUCCGCGCUGCAUUAGCUAGUUGGUAAGGUAACGGCUUACCAAGGCAACGAUGCAUAGCCGACCUGAGAGGGUGAUCGGCCACACUGGAACUGAGACACGGUCCAGACUCCUACGGGAGGCAGCAGUAGGGAAUCUUCCGCAAUGGGCGAAAGCCUGACGGAGCAACGCCGCGUGAGUGAUGAAGGUCUUCGGAUCGUAAAACUCUGUUAUUAGGGAAGAACAUAUGUGUAAGUAACUGUGCACAUCUUGACGGUACCUAAUCAGAAAGCCACGGCUAACUACGUG